GCUACUGUGGCUCAGGGGUAGAGCAGCUCACUCGUAAUGAGCAGGUCGCCGGUUCGAAUCCGGCCAGUAGCU
rnacentral:tRNA from 1 species